CAUAACCAACAACGUAUGCUUAAAACUCAAAAGCCCAAAAAAAUUCAUGGGUUUAUUUGGGCAACAUCUAUCUAAAUAAACAAGAGCUCAAUCACCACAACUCUAGCGAGUGAAUUACAGUUCCUAAUCAAUUAAUUCAAAUCAGCUCUGUGGUUUGCCAAUGUCUCCACGCGCUUCCACUGCAAGUGCUUUUGAGUGUAGACGGUAGUAAUAAUUCUGUCGGCUUUACCUUUGUCGCCUGACACAGUUGGUACUCGGGAAUUAACGAAAUCAACCCAAAACCCAGAAAUCAAUUAAGAAGCAACGAAAGAGAGAGAAAGAUUUAGAGACAAAGUCCAAGCGUAAAUGGAGAAAAAUCAAAUCUUUGUUUGAAGGGUAUUUAGUGAUACAACAGGAACAUGGAAAAUCAAGAAGAUGAAGCUUCAACAACACAACAGCCAUCCUCAACAUAUUAUCUAUUCUUAACAAUUAUGAGCAAAAGGAGAACAUGGGAUUGUAUGCAGAUGGGCCUGCUUGAAGCUGUCAGGACUGAGGACCAUAUGCUUGCUUGAUGUGGAAGCUAAAGGAGAGGACACACUGCUGCAAUGGAUCCUUUGUGGCAGUGUCCAUAAGCUUCUUGUGACCUGCCAGGGAGCAAGGUAAGCCGGAUGGGGCCUGGGAUUCGAACCUUUCAUUAGCCGCUUUAACGGUCAACUAUAAGCACAUAUAAUCACUCAUCUUCUAACCAAUGCAACAAGAUGCAGAAUACUUUCAAAUUGAAGCUUAAUAACAAGACCCAAUAGCUGCUCUUGCUGAAGGGUGGUUUCAUAUGCUCAAUGCCUAGAGCUAAAGGGAUAAUUAGGGUGAACAGUGAGCCAAAGUGCAAUGAAAUCUAGGCCGCAGAGAAUUGGACAAAACGACAUUUGUCGUUAUCGUGAGGUUACGGAGCCAUGCCAUGUUUGGCAUUUUGAAAAACAUAUUCCCAAUACCGUUUGUAUGCAAAAUAAUUUGCAUUUUUUCAAAAAUAUUUUUCAAUAAAUAAUUUAUUUAAUUCUU